rnacentral:rRNA from 1 species
UCCCGUUGAUCCUGCGGGAGGUUGCUGCUAUUAGGGUUCGACUAAGCCAUGCAAGUCUGUUCAUCUUCGGGUGGACGGCAAAAUGCUCAGUAACACGUCUAUAAUCUGCCCUUAGGUCUGGGAUACCCUCGGGAAACUGAGGUUAAAACCGGAUAUGGAAAGGAAACUGGAAUGUAUCUUUCUUUAAAAGUAAUGCCUAAGGAUGAGUUGGCGGCUGAUUAGGCUGUUGGUGAGGUAACGGCUCACCAAACCGACGAUCAGUAGGGGCCUUGAAAGAGGUAGCCCCGAGAAGGUCACUGAGACACUGGACCUAGCCUUACGGGGUGCAGCAGGCGCGAAACCUUUACAAUGCACGAAAGUGUGAUAAGGGGACCCUAAGUGCCAAUGUUAUGCAUUGGCUUUUGCCAAGAGUAAAUAUCUUGGAGAAUAAGUAGUGGGCAAGACUGGUGCCAGCCGCCGCGGUAACACCAGCGUCUACAAGUGGCAACCACUUUUAUUGGGCCUAAAGCGUCCGUAGCCGGUUUAGUAAAUCUUUUGUGAAAUUGUUGGGUUUAACUCAACAGCGUGCAGAAGAAACUGCUAAGCUAGGGACCGGGAGGAGUCAGAGGUAUGUUUUGGGGAGCGGUAAAAUGCUAUAAUCCAAGACAGACCACCUGUGGCGAAGGCGUCUGACUAGAACGGAUCCGACGGUGAGGGACGAAAGCCAGGGGAGCAAAACGGAUUAGAUACCCGAGUAGUCCUGGCUGUAAACGCUGCGAGCUAGGUGUUGCGUAUUCUAUAUGAAUGCGCAGUGUCGAAGCGAAGGUGAUAAGCUCGCCGCCUGGGAAGUACGGUCGCAAGACUGAAACUUAAAGGAAUUGGCGGGGGAGCACUACAAGGAGUGCGGCGUGCGGUUUAAUCUAAUUCAACACAGAAAAUCUCACCAGGGGCGACGGCAGGAUGAAAGUCAUGCUGAAGACAUUACUUGACGAGCCGAGAGGUACUGCAUGGCCGCCGUCAGCUCGUGUCGUAAGAUGUCCUGUUAAGUCAGGCAACGAGCGAGACCUGUGCUUACAAUUGCUAGCGAUUCCUUUAGGAAGAUCGAGCACAUUGUGAGGACUGCCUUGGAAACAAGGAGGAAGGUGCAGGCUACGGUAGGUCUGUAUGCUCCGAAUCCUCUGGGCUACACGCGCGCAACAAUGGUAGGUACAAUGGGAUACAACUCCGAAAGGAGAAGUUAAUCCUCUAAAGCCUAUCCAAGUUCAGAUUGAGGGUUGUAACUCACCCUCAUGACGUUGGAAUCCCUAGUAAUCGGAAGUCAUCAGCUUCCGGUGAAUAUGUCCCUGCUCCUUGCACACACCGCCCGUCAAACCAUCCGAGUCGGGUUUAGGUGAGGUUCAGUUUAGAAUUGACCCGAACCUAAGCUCAGCGAGGCAGGUUAAGUCGUCACAAGGUA